UACAGAGGUCUCAAGCGUUGUUCGGAUUCAUUGGGCGUAAAGGGUGCGUAGGUGGCGCCGUAAGUCAGAUGUGAAAUUCCGGAGCUCAACUCCGGAACUGCAUUUGAUACUGCGGUGCUCGAGGACUGGAGAGGAGACUGGAAUUCACGGUGUAGCAGUGAAAUGCGUAGAUAUUCGGAAGAACACCAGUGGCGAAGGCGGCUCACUGGCCCGGUACUGACGCUGAGGUGCGAAAGCGUGGGGAGCAAACAGG
rnacentral:rRNA from 1 species